UACGUAGGGUGCAAGCGUUGUCCGGAAUUAUUGGGCGUAAAGAGCUCGUAGGCGGUUUGUUGCGUCGGCUGUGAAAUCCCGAGGCUCAACCUCGGGUCUGCAGUCGAUACGAGCAAACUAGAGUGUUGCAGGGGAGACUGGAACUCCUGGUGUAGCGGUGAAAUGCGCAGAUAUCAGGAGGAACACCGGUGGCGAAGGCGGGUCUCUGGGCAACAACUGACGCUGAGGAGCGAAAGCGUGGGGAGCAAACAGG
rnacentral:rRNA from 1 species